GAUCCUGCCAGUAGUCAUAUGCUUGUCUCAAAGAUUAAGCCAUGCAUGUCUCAGUACAAACCAAAUUAAGGUGAAACCGCGAAAGGCUCAUUAAAUCAGUUAUGGUUCCUUAGAUCGUACCCACAUUUACUUGGAUAACUGUGGUAAUUCUAGAGCUAAUACAUGCAAACAGAGCUCCAACCGGAGACGGAAGGAGUGCUUUUAUUAGAUCAAAACCAAUCGGCGGCAGUAGCGUUUCGGCGUUAUUGUUCGUCGCACUACUUGGUGACUCUGAAUAACUUUUGGCUGAUCGCACGGUCUUGCACCGGCGACGCAUCUUUCAAAUGUCUGCCUUAUCAACUGUCGAUGGUAGGUUCUGCGCCUACCAUGGUUGUAACGGGUAACGGGGAAUCAGGGUUCGAUUCCGGAGAGGGAGCCUGAGAAACGGCUACCACAUCCAAGGAAGGCAGCAGGCGCGCAAAUUACCCACUCCCGGCACGGGGAGGUAGUGACGAAAAAUAACGAUACGGGACUCAUCCGAGGCCCCGUAAUCGGAAUGAGAACACUUUAAAUCCUAUAACGAGGACCAAUUAGAGGGAAAGUCUGGUGCCAGCAGCCGCGGUAAUUCCAGCUCUAAUAGCGUAUAU
rnacentral:rRNA from 1 species